CCUACGGGAGGCAGCAGUGAGGAAUAUUGGUCAAUGGACGAGAGUCUGAACCAGCCAAGUAGCGUGAAGGAUGACUGCCCUAUGGGUUGUAAACUUCUUUUAUAUGGGAAUAAAAUGUUCCACGUGUGGGAUUUUGUAUGUACCAUAUGAAUAAGGAACGGCUAACUCCGGGCCAGCAGCCGCGGUAAUACGGAGGAUCCGAGCGUUAUCCGGAUUUAUUGGGUUUAAAGGGAGCGUAGGUGGAUUGUUAAGUCAGUUGUGAAAGUUUGCGGCUCAACCGUAAAAUUGCAGUUGAAACUGGCAGUCUUGAGUACAGUAGAGGUGGGCGGAAUUCGUGGUGUAGCGGUGAAAUGCUUAGAUAUCACGAAGAACUCCGAUUGCGAAGGCAGUUCACUGGACUGCAACUGACACUGAGGCUCGAAAGUGUGGGUAUCAAACAGGAUUAGAUACCCCGGUAGUC
rnacentral:rRNA from 1 species